GUGCUUGCUUCAGCAGCAUAUAUACUAAAUAAGAGCGAUACAGAGAAGAUUAGCAAGUCCCCUGUGCAAGGAUGACACGCAAAUUCAUGGAGCUUUCCAUAUUUUA
rnacentral:snRNA from 1 species